rnacentral:rRNA from 1 species
GUAGGUGGCAAGCGUUGUCCGGAAUUAUUGGGCGUAAAGCGCGCGCAGGCGGUUCUUUAAGUCUGAUGUGAAAGCCCACGGCUCAACCGUGGAGGGUCAUUGGAAACUGGAGAACUUGAGUACAGAAGAGGAAAGCGGAAUUCCACGUGUAGCGGUGAAAUGCGUAGAGAUGUGGAGGAACACCAGUGGCGAAGGCGGCUUUCUGGUCUGUAACUGACGCUGAGGCGCGAAAGCGUGGGGAGCAAACAGGGAUUAGAUAACCUGGUAGUCCACGCCGUAAACGAUGAGUGCUAAGUGUUAGGGGGGUUUCCGCCCCCUUAGUGCUGCAGCUAACGCAUUAAGCACUCCGCCUGGGGAGUACGGCCGCAAGGCUG